CUGAUCCCACUGUAAGCAAACCCUGAGUCCUAGGGCCUUUCUUCCACUUAUUUCACUCUUUCUGUACACAUUUUCCAGUACCUCCACCACUCACCACCCUCCAAAAAGAACUGAUCCCUAAGCUUGUGCAGUGAUUAACGAUUUUCAUGUCUUUUCUAUUUGCCUGCAGUUAUGCUACAAGAUCUCUUGGCAAAGGACUAGCCAGGCAUGCCUAAUAUAUACAUUCGUGUGAUUUAACAAACUGGUUUCUACCACUUUCGGCCUGAAGUGACAGUGUUUUUUAACGUUGGUUGCAGGCAGGGGACUGUUGCCCCCUGCCAAGCACUUCAGCUUCCUUGCCCGGCCUCUCCUUGGCUUCUGUCUGUCCCCACCAGCAGCUCUUCAUGGGACCCAUCCUGACCCUCCAAGAAAGCAGAAAAGGAGGUUCCUGAUGCAAAACCUAAAGAGCUUUCAUCUGAGGAAGCCUCUGCCUUUUGGGUCAACACUGAGGGGAGUAAAUGAAUGGCACCUGCUCCUUCUCUGUCUGAAGCUUGGACUUCUCCUGAGAGGACUUCCUGCUCCAAGAUAGGAGGGAGUCUCACUCAGAAGAGGAAGGAGCUCCUGUCUGCUGAGGACACGGUUCCAUCCAAUGAGGUCAGCAGGGCUAUCAGCAGCUUCCGUUAAUUCCGUUGGGGCAGGC
rnacentral:lncRNA from 1 species